rnacentral:rRNA from 1 species
CAGCCGCCGCGGUAAUACCGGCGGCCCGAGUGGCGGUCACUAUUAUUGGGCUUAAAGCGUCCGUAGCCGGGUUGGGAAGUCCUCCGGGAAAUCUGGCCGCUUAACGGUCAGAAUGCCGGAGGAUACUCCCAGCCUAGGGAGCGGGCGAGGCCGAGGGUAUUCCCGGAGUAGGGGGGAAAUCCUAUAAUCCCGGGAGGACCACCUGUGGCGAAGGCGCUCGGCUGGAACGGGUCCGACGGUGAGGGACGAAGGCCAGGGGAGCAAACCGGAUUAGAUACCCGGGUAGUCCUGGCUGUAAACGAUGCGGACUUUGUGUCGGACAAGCUAUGAGCUUGUCCGGUGCCGGAGGGAAACCGUUAAGUCCGCCGCCUGGGGAGUACGGCCGCAAGGCUGAAACUUAAAGGAAUUGGCGGG